AUACGGAGGGUGCAAGCGUUACUCGGAAUCACUGGGCGUAAAGCGCGCGCAGGCGGCUAUUUAAGUUGGAUGUGAAAGCCUACGGCUCAACCGUAGAACUGCAUCCAAAACUAUUUAGCUAGAGUGUGGGAGAGGAAGAUGGAAUUAGUUGUGUAGGGGUAAAAUCCGUAGAGAUAACUAGGAAUACCAAAAGCGAAGGCAAUCUUCUGGAACACUACUGACGCUGAGGCGCGAAAGCGUGGGUAGCAAACGGGAUUAGAUACCCUAGUAGUCC
rnacentral:rRNA from 1 species